rnacentral:lncRNA from 1 species
GCGGCCGCCGGAAAACCCAAACCCGAGUGUCCCGAGACUAACCGGAAGUGCGGUCCCUGGCGGAGGGGCGGUGCCGGCGGCUGCCGGGGAAAGGGAAGAAUUGAGUGUUAUGAAUACUCAUGGACUUGAGACUUUUUGAGGCCAAAAGCAAGACUGGCUUGAGUCUUCAUUGUUAUGAACUUGCUCUUCCUUGAGAAACCACGUUCUCAGGACCAGGAAGUCAAGGCUGCGUUCCUUCCGGUUAGCUUCUGGGGUUGGAAAUAC